rnacentral:rRNA from 1 species
AGAGUUUGAUCCUGGCUCAGAACGAACGCUAGCGGUGUGGAUUAGGCAUGCAAGUCGCGCGCGAAAGCCUUCGGGUGAGUAAAGCGGCGCAAGGGUGAGUAACACGUAACCAACGUACCCCUCAGACCGGGAUAACUACUGGAAACGGUAGGUAAUACCGGAUGGUCCCUCCGACGGCCUUCUCACGGACGGUAAACGGCGGCUUCGGCUGCUGCUGGAGGAGCGGGUUGCGGCCUAUCAGCUAGUUGGUGGGGUAAUGGCCCACCAAGGCAUCGACGGGUAGCGGGUCUGAGAGGAUGAUCCGUCACACUGGGACUGAGACACUGCCCAGACUCCUACGGGAGGCUGCAGUCGAGAAUCUUCCACAAUGGGCGAAAGCCUGAUGGAGCGACACCGCGUGCAGGAUGAAGGCCUUCGGGUUGUAAACUGCGGUCACGCCAUAGGAACCCGUAGUCGUUAAUAGCGGCUGCGCUGACCAAAGCGAAAGGAAGUGCCGGCUAACACCGUGCCAGCAGCCGCGGUAAUACGGAGGGCGCAAGCGUUGUCCAGAUUUAUUGGGCGUAAAGAGCUCGUAGGCGGUUCCGUAAGUCGGAUGUGAAAACUCAGGGCUCAACCCUGAGACGCCAUCUGAUACUGCGGUGACUAGAGUCCGGUAGAGGAGCAUGGAAUUCCUGGUGUAGCGGUGGAAUGCGCAGAUAUCAGGAGGAACACCAACGGCGAAGGCAGUGCUCUGGGCCGGUACUGACGCUGAGGAGCGAAAGCAUGGGGAGCAAACAGGAUUAGAUACCCUGGUAGUCCAUGCCGUAAACGUUGGGCACUAGGUGUGGGGUCUUCUUAACGGACUCCGUGCCGUAGCUAACGCAUUAAGUGCCCCGCCUGGGGAGUACGGCCGCAAGGCUAAAACUCAAAGGAAUUGACGGGGGCCCGCACAAGCGGCGGAGCAUGUUGCUUAAUUCGAGGCAACGCGAAGAACCUUACCUGGGUUUGACAUGUAUUGAAAAGCCAUAGAGAUAUGGUGUCCUUCGGGGCUUUACACAGGUGGUGCAUGGCUGUCGUCAGCUCGUGUCGUGAGAUGUUGGGUUAAGUCCCGCAACGAGCGCAACCCUCGUCCUAUGUUGCCAGCACGUAAUGGUGGGGACUCGUAGGAGACUGCCGGGGUCAACUCGGAGGAAGGUGGGGACGACGUCAAGUCAUCAUGCCCCUUAUGCCCAGGGCUGCAAACAUGCUACAAUGGCCGGUACAGAGGGCUGCUAUACCGCGAGGUUGAGCGAAUCCCACAAAGCCGGUCUCAGUUCGGAUUGGAGUCUGCAACUCGACUCCAUGAAGCUGGAGUCGCUAGUAAUCCCGGAUCAGCAACGCCGGGGUGAAUACGUUCCCGGGCCUUGUACACACCGCCCGUCACACCACGAAAGUCGGCAACACCCGAAGUCAGUGGCCGAACCCUCUGGGGCGGAGCUGCCGAAGGUGGGGUUAGCGAUUGGGGUGAAGUCUAAACAAGGUAACC